rnacentral:rRNA from 1 species
UACGGAGGGUGCAAGCGUUAUCCGGAUUCACUGGGUUUAAAGGGUGCGUAGGUGGGCAAGUAAGUCAGUGGUGAAAUCUCCGGGCUUAACCCGGAAACUGCCAUUGAUACUAUUUGUCUUGAAUACUGUGGAGGUCAGCGGAAUAUGUCAUGUAGCGGUGAAAUGCGCAGAUAUCGGGAGGAACACCAAUGGCGAAGGCAGCUUGCUGGGACGGUACUGACGCUGAGGCGCGAAAGCGUGGGGAGCAAACAGG